rnacentral:rRNA from 1 species
UACGUAGGGUGCGAGCGUUAAUCGGAAUUACUGGGCGUAAAGCGUGCGCAGGCGGUUCGUUGUGUCGGCGGUGAAAGCCCCGGGCUUAACCUGGGAAUGGCCGUUGAAACUGGCGAACUGGAGUGUGGCAGAGGGGGGUGGAAUUCCGCGUGUAGCAGUGAAAUGCGUAGAGAUGCGGAGGAACACCGAUGGCGAAGGCAGCCCCCUGGGCUAACACUGACGCCUCAGGCACGAAAGCGUGGGGAGCAAACAGG